rnacentral:rRNA from 1 species
GGUUAAGUUAGAAAGGGCGCACGGUGGAUGCCUUGGCACUAGGAGCCGAUGAAGGACGGGACGAACACCGAUAUGCUUCGGGGAGCUGUAAGCAAGCUUUGAUCCGGAGAUUUCCGAAUGGGGAAACCCACCACUCGUAAUGGAGUGGUAUCCAUAUCUGAAUUCAUAGGAUAUGAGAAGGCAGACCCGGGGAACUGAAACAUCUAAGUACCCGGAGGAAGAGAAAGCAAAUGCGAUUCCCUGAGUAGCGGCGAGCGAAACGGGAUCAGCCCAAACCAAGAGGCUUGCCUCUUGGGGUUGUAGGACACUCU